UUAUGACCUAAAACAGAAACAGUUCAGUUACUCUUCUUUCUGGUAUUACACAUUAAGUAAAAAGAAACUCUCCUUAACUAUACAAUUGAUUUUAAUUAUAUAUCAUUAAAUCUGACCAACUUCAGGUUGUCUUAUUCACAUUUGUUUUUAAAUCUUUAAAGGGUGAGAAAAGUAAAACAGAAAUUUAAGCAAGAUUUGUCAUUGGUCUUAUGUCAUAAAAAGGUCAUUUGUUCCAGUAAUCCAUAUCACUUAACUGGACUAAACCAAUUUUUACUGAUCUUUGCCCGAAGUCCAGCGACCUUUGGAAUGACUGUUUGAUACAACAAAAUUCUUCAGUACCAAGUGUUUAGUGUUUUAUGUCAGAGAAAAUGGAGAAAAAUGCCAGAAAAUAACAGGGAGGGAUACAGACAAAACAAAAGAAAUCACAGGUUGAACAUUACAGUUGGCUGAUAUCAAUAAUCAAAAAGGAUGGCAUUGUCAGUGUUAACAUACAAAGGAGCUGAUAGAAACUUAAUAAGAGUGCCACAUUCAGGUACAAUUAUUUAGAAGACACUUCCAAACAGCACCAGAUCAUUUGACAUUGCAGCUUAUAAAAGGAAACGGAGUAACUCAGAUUUGGAUAGUUCAAUUUCAAGGUUACAAUUUUCUCCAGAAAACCUGCUUCAUGUAGAGGACAUACAUACUUUAAUCACCUGCGUUAUGUAAUGGGCAUAUACAUACUUCAAUCAUCUGAUUUAUGUAGUGGACAUACGUACUACAUUCACCUGAGUUAUGUAGCUAUAUAUGAUAGUGGACAUACAUACGACAGCUGCCUGUAUAAUUAAAUGAAAUAAACCUUAUAUCUUACGUGACUGAUGCAGUUAUUCUUAUUUUUAAGUAAUAAUCGCAUAAUUGAUUUAUUAACUGGAUUUGAAUGUGACGUCAUUCGGUGAUGAACUUCACUACUUGGAACUCCUGGUUUCAUAGCUUCCUUGUUAUUUAUAUCAAGCAAAAAACUAAUGGCUUUAACUAUGUUUUGUACAAUAAGUGUAUUUUUGUUAAAUUUAUCGAUUAAAAUGAAUUGUAUUGACUACAA